rnacentral:misc_RNA from 1 species
GUGAAUCAUCAAAUCUUUGAACGCAAAUUGCGCCUUUUGCGAAAGGCAUGUCUGUUUGAGUGCACCAUUUAACAAAUAAUGUGCAGCGGUUUUUGUGGCACACGUUGAUGAGCUUUCCAAGAAUUUUAAAUUUUUGGUUGCGCAUAAUGAACAGCGUGAAUCUUUUUUUUCAGUUCGAGUGUAGUAAAAGCUUUGCUUGGGUUGUAAAAAGCGUA